rnacentral:rRNA from 1 species
UUAUCGUAUAUUUGAUAGUACCUACUACAUGGAUAACCGUGGUAAUUCUAGAGCUAAUACAUGCUUAAAAUCCCGACUUCGGAAGGGAUGUAUUUAUUAGAUUAAAAACCAAUGCCCUUCGGGGCUCACUGGUGAUUCAUAAUAACUUCUCGAAUCGCAUGGCCUUGUGCCGGCGAUGGUUCAUUCAAAUUUCUGCCCUAUCAACUUUCGACGGCUGGGUCUUGGCCAGCCGUGGUUACAACGGGUAACGGAGGGUUAGGGCUUGACCCCGGAGAAGGAGCCUGAGAAACGGCUACUACAUCCAAGGAAGGCAGCAGGCGCGCAAAUUACCCAAUCCCGAUACGGGGAGGUAGUGACAAUAAAUACUGAUACAGGGCCCUUUUGGGUCUUGUAAUUGGAAUGAGUACAAUUUAAAUCCCUUAACGAGGAACAAUUGGAGGGCAAGUCUGGUGAACAAAAGUACAAUGCUGCUUGCGCCAGAAAGAGUAUUAGGUAGAGAUAUCUAUCUACUGCUAGUCGAGCACCCGAAACAGCUGCGGGUGGGUGCCGGCGACACAACCUGGAUCGGGGAAGGCUAAGGGCUCAGCCUAUGCUAAUCCCGCGCGGAGUCUCAGUAGAGUGAUCUUCUGAAGACCCGUGUAGAGCGCGCCAAGGUGUGGGCUGCCCUGUGCUUGCACAGGCGGCUUAAGGGACGUGCCGACCACCGGGAAACCGGAUUCCUCCAUGGAGCACCCGCAAGUGCAAAGUAGGAGGACACCUUCCAGGGUACCUAGUACCUGUCGGGAGGUGGGGAGAACUCUUCGGCCAGCAGCCGCGGUAAUUCCAGCUCCAAUAGCGUAUAUUAAAGUUGUUGCAGUUAAAAAGCUCGUAGUUGAACCUUGGGCCUGGCUGGCCGGUCUGCCUCACCGCAUGCACUGGUCCGGCCGGGCCUUUCCCUCUGGGGAGCCGCAUGCCCUUCACUGGGUGUGUCGGGGAACCAGGACUUUUACUGUGAAAAAAUUAGAGUGUUCAAAGCAGGCCUAUGCUCGAAUACAUUAGCAUGGAAUAAUAGAAUAGGACGUUGCGGUUCUAUUUUGUUGGUUUCUAGGACCGCCGUAAUGAUUAAUAGGGACAGUCGGGGGCAUCAGUAUUCAAUCGUCAGAGGUGAAAUUCUUGGAUCGAUUGAAGACUAACUACUGCGAAAGCAUUUGCCAAGGAUGUUUUCAUUAAUCAGGAACGAAAGUUAGGGGAUCGAAAACGAUCAGAUACCGUUGUAGUCUUAACCAUAAACUAUGCCGACUAGGGAUCGGGCGAUGUUUUUCUUUGACU